CGGAGGCAGCAGUGAGGAAUAUUGCUCAAUGGGCGAAAGCCUGAAGCAGCAACGCCGCGUGCGCGAUGAAGGUCUUCGGAUCGUAAAGCGCUUUUGAGAGGGACGAGAUAGGACGGUACCUCUUGAAUAAGUCACGGCUAACUACGUGCCAGCAGCCGCGGUAAAACGUAGGUGGCAAGCGUUAUCCGGAUUCACUGGGCGUAAAGCGAGUGCAGGUGGUUGUGUAAGUUGGAUGUGAAAUUUCCCAGCCUAACUGGGAAGGGUCAUUCAAUACUGCGCGACUUGAGGGCAGAAGAGGGGGGUGGAAUUGCCGGUGUAGUGGUGAAAUGCGUAGAUAUCGGCAGGAACACCUGUGGCGAAAGCGGCCCCCUGGUCUGCUCCUGACACUCAGACUCGAAAGCUAGGGUAGCGAACGGGAUUAGAUACCCUGGU
rnacentral:rRNA from 1 species